rnacentral:rRNA from 1 species
AAUAGAUACCCUGGUAGUCCACGCCGUAAACGAUGAGUGCUAGGUGUUAGGGGGUUUCCGCCCCUUAGUGCUGCAGCUAACGCAUUAAGCACUCCGCCUGGGGAGUACGGUCGCAAGACUGAAACUCAAAGGAAUUGACGGGGGCCCGCACAAGCGGUGGAGCAUGUGGUUUAAUUCGAAGCAACGCGAAGAACCUUACCAGGUCUUGACAUCCCGCUGACCGCCAUGGAGACAUGGCCUUCCCUUCGGGGACAGCGGUGACAGGUGGUGCAUGGUUGUCGUCAGCUCGUGUCGUGAGAUGUUGGGUUAAGUCCCGCAACGAGCGCAACCCUUGUCCUUAGUUGCCAUCAUUCAGUUGGGCACUCUAAGGAGACUGCCGUACAAAUACGGAGGAAGGUGGGGAUGACGUCAAAUCAUCAUGCCCCUUAUGACCUGGGCUACACACGUGCUACAAUGGGUGGUACAAAGGGCAGCGAACCCGCGAGGGUAAGCGAAUCUCAUAAAGCCAUUCUCAGUUCGGA